AUACGUAGGGGGCGAGCGUUGUCCGGAAUGAUUGGGCGUAAAGGGCGCGUAGGCGGCCUGUUAAGUCUGGAGUGAAAGUCCUGUUUUCAAGAUGGGAAUUGCUUUGGAUACUGAUGGGCUUGAGUGCAGGAGAGGUUAUCGGAAUUCCCGGUGUAGCGGUGAAAUGCGUAGAGAUCGGGAGGAACACCAGUGGCGAAGGCGGGUAACUGGACUGCAACUGACGCUGAGGCGCGAAAGUGUGGGGAGCAAACAGGAUUAGAUAUCCUGGUAGUCCACACUGUAAACGAUGAAUGCUAGGUGUAGGAGGUAUCGACCCCUUCUGUGCCGCAGUAAACACAGUAAGCAUUCCGCCUGGGGAGUACGGUCGCAAGAUUAAAACUCAAAGGAAUUGACGGGG
rnacentral:rRNA from 1 species